rnacentral:rRNA from 1 species
UACGGAGGGUGCGAGCGUUGUCCGGAAUCACUGGGCGUAAAGGGCGCGUAGGCGGCGCGGGCAGUCAACGGUGAAAGCUUGGGGCUCAACCCCGAGUCGGCCGUCGAUACUCCCGGGCUGGAGCACUGUAGAGGCAGGUGGAAUUCCGGGUGUAGCGGUGGAACGCGUAGAGAUCCGGAAGAACACCGGUGGCGAAGGCGGCUUCCUGGACCGACACUGACGCUGAGGCGCGAAAGCGUGGGGAGCAAACAGG